GAUGAACGCUGGCGGCGUGCUUAACACAUGCAAGUCGAACGAGAAGUGAAGACGGAAACCUUCGGGCGGAAGGCUUUAUUUCGAGUGGCGGACGGGUGAGUAACGCGUGGGUAACCUGCCUCAUACAGGGGGAUAACAGUUGGAAACGACUGUUAAUACCGCAUAAGACCAUAGCACCGCAUGGUGCGGGGGUAAAAACUCCGGUGGUAUGAGAUGGACCCGCGUUCGAUUAGCCAGUUGGCGGGGUAACGGCCCACCAAAGCGACGAUCGAUAGCCGAUCUGAGAGGAUGACCGGCCACAUUGGGACUGAGACACGGCCCAAACUCCUACGGGAGGCAGCAGUGGGGAAUAUUGCACAAUGGGGGAAACCCUGAUGCAGCGACGCCGCGUGAGUGAAGAAGUAUUUCGGUAUGUAAAGCUCUAUCAGCAGGGAAGAAAAUGACGGUACCUGAGGAAGAAGCCCCGGCUAACUACGUG
rnacentral:rRNA from 1 species